rnacentral:tRNA from 1 species
GAGGGUACAGCUCAAGUGGCAGAGCACUUGCUUAGCAUGCAUGAGGUCUUGGGUUCAAUUCCCAAUACCUCCU